CUGCACAGUGCGCCUGCGCAGGAGCGUGGGAGCCGGGAGAGGGAGCUGGCGACUUCCUCGCCCACGUGGUCCCUGGAACGCUCCAGAGAUAAACUCCCCCAAGUAUGUCAUCUGGUCUCCGUCCUGUCGCUGAGCAACUGGACAUACGCAGAUGAACCCUGUAGAAGUCCCUGUUGGUGAAGGGUGUCUGUUGGUGCAACUGGACAUACGCAGAUGAACCCUGUAGAAGUCCCUGUUGGUGAAGGGUGUCUGUUGGUGCAACUGGACAUACGCAGAUGAACCCUGUAGAAGUCCCUGUUGGUGAAGGGUGUCUGUUGGUGCAACUGGACAUACGCAGAUGAACCCUGUAGAAGUCCCUGUUGGUGAAGGGUGUCUGUUGGUGCAACUGGACAUACGCAGAUGAACCCUGUAGAAGUCCCUGUUGGUGAAGGGUGUCUGUUGGUGCAACUGAGUGACAAGACUCAAGUUCUGCAGACAAAAUACUCAGAUCAGGAGAGAGAGUUUCCCCUUCUGCUCUCUCAUCCCAGCUCUUUACACGAGGAAGAGAACAGCCCUGAACCAGGAAUUCAGGUGGGCGUUAAAAAAGGCCGCCCUACAUUGCACAUCAUACAGUGCCUCCCUCAGGGGCCAUGAACCUAGAGAUAUCUUCAUGGUUUUCCAGUAGGAAUGACUAGCUAGCAUUAUGAUCUGGGGUGCAAAAAUCUGAAGAUGUUUAUCGCAGUGUGCUGGUGGGCUGGCAGUCCACUGCUCAAAAGAUUGGGUAAAUUGGAAAGCGGAACCUGCACUGUAUGUAGCAGCUAGAAGCAAUAGAGUAGAUGAACACACAGCAACUCAAACAGAGCCUUCGCAUGUGGUGCUUUGGGAAAGAAAAGAUAAAGGAAACAUAAGCUCUACAACAUAAGGAAAGAUGUGUGAUCACCAGAUUGCAGCGUGCACUGGAGAAGGAGGCACACAAGCAAAACGACACACACAUUCAGCCCCACUAGAAUGCUUGGCGGGAAAAUGGGAAGUAGGGGUAAGAGAUAAGCAAGAUAGGCCUAGAAAGAACGAGUCCUGAUCACCUAAGAAGACCUGAGCAGUAUCAUGAAUUCACCCCUGGCCCGUGUCACCGAUGUCUGAAGAUAGCGAAGGAAGAAGGAAAGGAAGGGAGAUAAAGGAGAAGAGGAGGAAUAAAUGGGGGCCGGACAACAGCUUCAGAGAGGCGGAAAUGAGAAAUGAGAUGGAGCUCGAGGUAUUAACUGAGAAUUGACAUAUAUGGCAAGGGUUGAUUCUGAGAUGGCUCAUCCCCAGGAAUCCUAAGAAAUUCUGAGGAAAAGCAUGAGCUUUUGGCAUUAUGUGUGUUGGUGACUUGAGUCAUUUUAUACAAAUAACUAAACAAAGGAUGUGUGGGGGAGGUAGGGAUGGAGGAUAAGGCAGAAGAAUCUACUAAAACUUUGUUUGAAAAUGUCAUUAUAGCUAACAUUUUAUAUUCUGUUUUUUAUAAUUGUUCCAAAAGAGCUCAAGGAUUCAGGAAUACCUGAGUUAUAAAAUAAAUAACAAAAUAUGAAAUGUUAUCUAUUUCUUCUGGUGGCAGCUUCUUUAAAAGCUUGAUUUUGAGGGGAAAAGAGACAAGAAAAAUAUUGAGCUCAGGUGCCAAGUGCAGGAAGGCACCCACUGUGUGGGUUUUUUUUCCCAUUGGUGGGACUGAAAGCCUAUCAUAGUGAAGAAAGACUAUGCUAGCUAAACUAAUGAGAAAACCAGGGUCUUGCUUGUCCCUGCUCAUAUCAUACUCAGUUCAUUUAAAAUACAGGAAGCCGGGCGGUGGUGGCGCACGCCUUUAAUCCCAGCACUCGGGAGGCAGAGGCAGGUGGAUCUCUGUGAGUUCGAGGCCAGCCUGGUCUACAAGAGCUAGUUCCAGGCCAGGCUCUAAAAAAAGCUGCAGAGAAACCCUGUCUCGAAAAAAAAAAUAUUAAAAUACAGGAAGACAGUUAUCACCUGUUUUUGCAGAAUCCCAAGAUUUUAAUAAAAACUUGCCUGGAUUUGAGCGUGCAAGGCCUGAAAGAAAACAGAACACAAAAGCAGAGUUUUAGUACAGUGAAGAAUAACUUUUAACAGGGGGGGGAAUUAACCCCACACCAUGUUAUUAUACACAUACUCCAAACUAGAAUUAUAAAGUUUUUAUUAAAAAUGGACUUACUUUCAUGAAUUUGAGGAUGUCUGGCUUCUAAAAAUAAAACAAAGCUUAGCAUGAAUAGAUAAUUCUUAUUUAAGUAAAAAAGAUACAAAUCAUUAAUACUUCAGAAACAAUGUAACAAGCUAAAAUUAAUAGUAGCAAAGGGUUGAAAAAAAGAAAUCAAAUAGCCUGACACUUUAUCUCAAUGUUAGUUCUAAUAAGAUUUUUAUUUUGAAUUUAAACAUAUAACAAGUUCACUCCAGCAAAAAAAUUGUUUUAAGUUUCCAAAGAGAUUAGUAUUUUAGAUACACCUGCACACAUACUCAAAAGGAAACUUACUAUACAAUUCUAUGAAGUUAUAAUUAUUUUUAACUUUCACUAACAAAACGGGUAUCCUGGUUGGUUUUUGUCAACUUGACACAAACCGAGAUUUUUCUGGGAAGAGGGAAUUUUAAUAGAGAAAUGCCUCUGGAAGAUUGACCUGUAGACAAAUCUAUGGGCAUUUUCUUGAGGUGCGAAGGCCAGUUCACUGAAGGCAGUGCCACCCUUGGCAGGUGGUCCUGGGUUAUAAGAAAACAGGCUAAGCAAGCCAUAGAGAGCAAACCACACAAAGCAUGCCACUAAACAACAUUCUUCCAGAAUUUCUUCGGUUCCUGCCUUUGGGCUUCUGCCUUGACUUUCCUGAAUGAUAAAGAAUUUAUAAAGAAUUUCCAAGAAUUUAUAGGGCAGAGUAAACCUUUUCCUUUCCAAGUCAUUUUUGGUCAUGGUAUUUUAUCAUAGCAAUAGAAACCCCAACUAUGACAGGGAACUUGUAAGAGGUAAACACAAUCCAGAGAUGAUACAAACUUGCUUUGAUUCAAUGAUUUUGAUCUGGCCAAUUACUAGUCAGUAAGCAUAUUAGUUAUAUAUCUCUGCUCUCACUUCCUCUUUCUCUAAAAGGGAAACAAUUAGAACCGUUUCUGGAAUCUAAAGGUAACACUCAUCCCAAAGUAGGGAAAUUGAAGUAACAAUGAUAUUUUACUAAGUAUAUAAUAUAUUUAGAUACAUUCAAAAAUGUGUAGGAAAAUAAACUUUGUGUUUUUAUAUAGUUAUUCUAUUGCAGAUUUUGCCCAUGAAAACUAACAAAUUGUGUCCCCUGACCUUAAUCUUCAUUACUUUAAAUAGGGGAGGAAAGGAACCGAGGAAGACAUAGGGAAAAGACUUAGACAUUGCACUGGCAAUGAAACUAGCUUUGACUGCAACCUGGCUCACCACUUUCCUGCUUGUAACCUUUCCCUGUCUUGCUUCCUUUACUAAGGACUGGGCUAAAUUUAAUAAAAAAUAAAGGCAUUCUACCUCAA